GGCAUGAUGGCCGAGCGGUCUAAGGCGCUGCACUCAAGUGUUCAUUCGCUUGUUACUUUCUGUAACUCCUAUUGCAGUCUCGCAAGAGGCGUGAGUUCGAGUCUCACUCAUGUCA